UACAUGGGGUGCAAAUGUUGCUCGGAAUUAUUGGGCGUAAAGCGCACGUAGGCGGUUUGUUAAGUCGGAUGUGAAAUCCCUCGGCUCAACUGAGGAAGUGCAUCCGAAACUGGCAGGCUUGAGUACUAAAGAGGGUCGCGGAAUUCCCGGUGUAGAGGUGAAAUUCGUAGAUAUCGGGAGGAACACCGGUGGCGAAGGCGGCGACCUGGGUAGAUACUGACGCUGAGGUGCGAAAGCGUGGGGAGCAAACAGG
rnacentral:rRNA from 1 species